AGUGAACGCUGGCGGUAGGCCUAACACAUGCAAGUCGAACGGCAGCACAGUAAGAGCUUGCUCUUACGGGUGGCGAGUGGCGGACGGGUGAGGAAUACAUCGGAAUCUACUUUUUCGUGGGGGAUAACGUAGGGAAACUUACGCUAAUACCGCACACGACCUACGGGUGAAAGCAGGGGAUCUUCGGACCUUGCGCGAUUGAAUGAGCCGAUGUCGGAUUAGCUAGUUGGCGGGGUAAAGGCCCACCAAGGCGACGAUCCGUAGCUGGUCUGAGAGGAUGAUCAGCCACACUGGAACUGAGACACGGUCCAGACUCCUACGGGAGGCAGCAGUGGGGAAUAUUGGACAAUGGGCGCAAGCCUGAUCCAGCCAUACCGCGUGGGUGAAGAAGGCCUUCGGGUUGUAAAGCCCUUUUGUUGGGAAAGAAAAGCAGCAGGUUAAUACCCCGCUGUUCUGACGGUACCCAAGGAAUAAGCACCGGCUAACUUCGUG
rnacentral:rRNA from 1 species